rfam:Stegodyphus mimosarum contig86224, whole genome shotgun sequence.
GCCUUCGUGGUGUAAUGGUCAGCACGCUCGACGCGUAACCGAGAGGUCCGUGGUUCGAUUCCCGGCGAAGGCG